rnacentral:rRNA from 1 species
UACGUAGGGUGCAAGCGUUGUCCGGAAUUAUUGGGCGUAAAGAGCUCGUAGGCGGUUUGUUGCGUCGGCCGUGAAAACUUGGGGCUUAACUCCGAGCUUGCGGUCGAUACGGGCAGACUUGAGUUCGGCAGGGGAGACUGGAAUUCCUGGUGUAGCGGUGAAAUGCGCAGAUAUCGGGAGGAACACCGGUGGCGAAGGCGGUUCUCUGGGCCUGUACUGACGCUGAGGAGCGAAAGCGUGGGGAGCGAACAGG